GACGAACGCUGGCGGCGUGCCUAAUACAUGCAAGUGGGACGCAAGGAAACACACUGUGCUUGCACACCGUGUUUUCUUGAGUCGCGAACGGGUGAGUAACGCGUAGGUAACCUGCCUAUUAGCGGGGGAUAACUAUUGGAAACGAUAGCUAAUACCGCAUAAUAUUAAUUAUUGCAUGAUAAUUGAUUGAAAGAUGCAAGCGCAUCACUAGUAGAUGGACCUGCGUUGUAUUAGCUAGUUGGUAAGGUAAGAGCUUACCAAGGCGACGAUACAUAGCCGACCUGAGAGGGUGAUCGGCCACACUGGGACUGAGACACGGCCCAGACUCCUACGGGAGGCAGCAGUAGGGAAUCUUCGGCAAUGGACGAAAGUCUGACCGAGCAACGCCGCGUGAGUGAAGAAGGUUUUCGGAUCGUAAAGCUCUGUUGUAAGUCAAGAACGUGUGUGAGAGUGGAAAGUUCACACAGUGACGGAGCUACCA
rnacentral:rRNA from 1 species